rnacentral:tRNA from 1 species
AGUGAGGUGGCUGAGCAUAAGCAAUAGACUGUAGAUCUAUCAACGAAUAAUAUUUCCCUCAUUA